GCUACGGGAGGCAGCAGUGAGGAAUAUUGGUCAAUGGCCGGAAGGCUGAACCAGCCAAGCCGCGUGAAGGACGAAGGUGCCAAGCAUUGUAAACUUCUUUUGUCAAGGGACAAAAUCAGGCUCGAGAGCCUGACCGGGGGUACUUGAAGUAAAAGCAUCGGCGAACUCCGUGCCAGCAGCCGCGGUAAUACGGGGGAUGCGAGCGUUAUCCGGAUUUAUUGGGGUGAAAGGGUGCGUGGGCGGAACGUUAAGUCAGGGUGAAAAGCCCGGGGCUAAACCCCGGCGAGCCGUUGAUACUGGGUGUCUUGAGAUGUCGAGAGGUAUGCGGAAUGCGCAGUGUAGCGGUGAAAUGCGUAGAUAUUGCGCAGAACUCCGAUUGCGAAGGCAGCAUACCGGCGGCGAUCUGACGCUGAGGCACGAAAGCGUGGGUAUCGAACAGGAUUAGAUACCCCGGUAGUC
rnacentral:rRNA from 1 species